rnacentral:rRNA from 1 species
UACAGAGGUCUCAAGCGUUGUUCGGAUUCAUUGGGCGUAAAGGGUGCGUAGGCGGCGCGGUAAGUCGGGUGUGAAAUCUCGGAGCUUAACUCCGAAACUGCAUUCGAUACUGCCGUGCUUGAGGACUGGAGAGGAGACUGGAAUUCUCGGUGUAGCAGUGAAAUGCGUAGAUAUCGAGAGGAAUACCAAAGGCGAAGGCAGGUCACUGGGCAGUUACUGACACUGAGGCACGAAGGCUAGGGGAGCAAACGGG